UACGUAGGGAGCGAGCGUUGUCCGGAAUUACUGGGUGUAAAGGGAGCGUAGGCGGGAUCGCAAGUCAGAUGUGAAAACUAUGGGCUUAACCCAUAAACUGCAUUUGAAACUGUGAUUCUUGAGUGAAGUAGAGGUAAGCGGAAUUCCUAGUGUAGCGGUGAAAUGCGUAGAUAUUAGGAGGAACAUCAGUGGCGAAGGCGGCUUACUGGGCUUUAACUGACGCUGAGGCUCGAAAGCGUGGGGAGCAAACAGG
rnacentral:rRNA from 1 species